rnacentral:rRNA from 1 species
UCAUCUUCGGGGGUAGAGCACUGUUUCGGCUAGGGGGUCAUCCCGACUUACCAACCCGAUGCAAACUACGAAUACCGAAGAAUGUUAUCACGGGAGACACACGGCGGGUGCUAACGUCCGUCGUGAAGAGGGAAACAACCCAGACCGCCAGCUAAGGUCCCAAAGUCAUGGUUAAGUGGGAAACGAUGUGGGAAGGCACAGACAGCCAGGAUGUUGGCUUAGAAGCAGCCAUCAUUUAAAGAAAGCGUAAUAGCUCACUGGUCGAGUCGGCCUGCGCGGAAGAUGUAACGGGGCUAAACCAUGCACCGAAGCUGCGGCAGCGACAC